rnacentral:rRNA from 1 species
AACGAACGCUGGCGGCAUGCCUAACACAUGCAAGUCGAACGAGACCUCCGUGCCUAGUUGCGCACGGGUGCGUAACGCGUGGGAACCUGCCCUUAGGUUCGGAAUAACUCCCUGUAGGGGGUGCUAAUACCGGAUAAUUUCCUCGGACCAAAGAUUUAUCGCGCUUGGAUGGGCCCGAGUUGGUUUAGCCGGUUGGUAGGGUAAAAGCCUAUCAGGGCGAGGAUCCAUAGCUGGUCUGAGAGGAUGGUCCGCCACACUUGAGCUGAGACACGGCCGAGAAUAUUAGGCAAGGGGGGAGAGGGUAAUACAGGAAAAUGGGGGAGGGGAUGAACGAGCCAGGGGGGGUAAGUGAUGAUGGCGUUAGGGAAGUGAAGCACUUUAACACGGGGCGAUAAUGACGGUACCGGGAGAAUAAGCACCGGCUAACUCCGUG